UUGGAAAAAUUAUUAUUUCUAAUGCAAUUGUCAAAUCUCUAAUUUCAAUAAAAUUUAUUUUGGCCUUACAAGGCGAAUUUUCGUCGAUUCUCUUUAAUCCGCUUUUUACAAGCCAUUUUUUCCCACAAUGUGGUAUGCGUGCUUAAACGUAUACAACACACACGUGCUUUUGGAAUGCGUGAGAGUAGGGUCACAGCUGUCGACUCGUGUGCCUGCGGUUGCCAGCGUGCCUACGUAUGUCAAAUACCGCAGACGAACAUCCGGCUUCUUAUGACGAUUGAGAAUUGAAGGUAGAAGCAAAGGGCGGGAAGUAAGGGCGGUAUUUAAGAAGAAGGGAAUAGACCUGAGGGGCAUGUGUGCGGCCCGAAAGAAGGGUCCGUUGUGCGGGCGAGGCAAAGGGGAGGUAGAAGGAGGAGAAGGUUGAGAAGCAGCUGCCAAGCGGCAAAACGAAAAACAGGAAUGAAGCAGCUGGCCGCCCCGCGCGAGGAGCAGGUGCACCAAGCACGCAUCCCCCUUUCUUCUUCCUGCCGUAAAUACUAAAUGGUAGCGGCAGCCGUUAUCUACAUGGACGCGCAUUGUCUGCGUGCAUGCGAAUAUACAGCAGACCUUUCAGCGUGUGCGUGCGAUGCUUGUGCAUAUGCUCGUGGCCACCACGAAAUUGAUCUUGAUUGAACGAGAUAUGAGGCUGGUGCGUUCCUUGGUCGCUGCAAUGUCGAGCCUGAUGGUACCGAGGGUGGCUUCUAUCAUGGUGAUUCUUCC